ACGCGAAGGACCCUUACCAGGUCUUGACAUCCAGAGAACUUUCCAGAGAUGGAUUGGUGCCUUCGGGAGCUCUGAGACAGGUGCUGCAUGGCUGUCGUCAGCUCGUGUCGUGAGAUGUUGGGUUAAGUCCCGUAACGAGCGCAGCCCCUAUCAUUAGUUGCCAACAGGUAAUGCUGGGAACUCUAGUGAAACUGCCCGCGCAAGCGGUGAGGAAGGUGGGGAUGACGUCAAGUCAGCACGGCCCUUACGUCCAGGUCUACACACGUACUACAAUGGCAAGUACAAAGGGUUGCUACAUGGUGACAUGAUGCUAAUCUCUAAAGCUUGUCCCAGUUCGGAUUGAAGUCUGCGACUCGACUUCAUGAAGCUGGAUUCGCUAG
rnacentral:rRNA from 1 species